CUUCCUCCCAGUCCCGGCGUGUUCAACAUAACCAGAUGGCUGCCACUCCACUCAGCCACCCCCACCUCACCUAGCAGUGACAUGUCCCCGAGGAGCAUUCCAGUCAAUAACUCAGAGAAAACAAGCUCAUAUUACCAAGUGUGAAAUUACAGCAAGCCUUACAGGCUGAGAACUGGAAAACAGCCUUCCUAUCAUGGUGAAUUAUGCAACCAGUGCUGGAGAGUAACUCUAAAAUAUAGCAUCUUUCUACUUACCUUACAAAAGCUCAAAGAAGGAGAUCUACAAGAUAAUGAAAACAAGGCUCAAAAUAAAAACAAGACAUCUUUACGAAAUUACACAAAGUGUAUGUGUUUGAA